GAACUGCGAUAAGUAGUGUGAAUUGCAGAAUUCAGUGAAUAAUCGAGUCUUUGAACGCACAUUGCGCCCCCUGGCAUUCCGGGGGGCAUGCCUGUCCGAGCGUCAUUGCUACCCUCAAGCACGGCUUGUGUGUUGGGCCCCCGUCCGCCCCGCCCCGCGGGGGGGACGGGCCCGAAAGGCAGCGCCGGCACCGCGUCCGGUCCUCGAGCGUAUGGGGCUUCGUCACCCGCUCUGUGGGACCGGCCGGCGCCAGGCUUAGUCAACCAAUCUUUUUAACGAGGUUGACCUCGGAUCAGGUAGGGAUACCCGCUGGAUUUAA
rnacentral:misc_RNA from 1 species